CGACCGGCGCACGGGUGAGUAACGCGUAUGUAAUCUACCUGUAACAGAGGGAUAACCCGGAGAAAUCCGGACUAAUACCUCAUAGCACAUAUUAUUCGCAUGAAUUUUAUGUUAAAGAGACUCGGUUACAGAUGAACAUGCGUUCCAUUAGCUAGUUGGCGGGGUUACGGCCCACCAAGGCAACGAUGGAUAGGGGUUCUGAGAGGAAGGUCCCCCACAUUGGAACUGAGACACGGCCCAA
rnacentral:rRNA from 1 species